AACGAACGCUGGCGGCAGGCCUAACACAUGCAAGUCGAGCGAGCAUUUCGUUACUAGCGGCGGACGGGGGAGUAACGCGUGGGAAGGUUGAGUUUUCUGCGGGAUAGUACUGUUUAACUGGGGGUAAUACCGCAAACGCCCCUCUGGGAAAAGAUACAACGUAGUAGGUACGGCAGGCGUUGGAUUAAGUAGUUGGUGGCGUAAUGGCCGAUCAAGGAUAAGAUCCUUAGCUGGGUUGAGAGGAAGAUCAGCCACACUGGGACUGAGACACGGCCCAGACUCCUGCGGGAAGCAGCAGUGGGUGAUCUUAGAAUACCGCGGCAAUGCUGAUCGCGCCCGGCCGGGUGAGUGAUGUAGUUCUUAGAGAUGUACAGCUCUUUAAGCUGGGAAGAUAAUGACGGUACCAGAAGAAGAAGCACCGGCUAACUCCGUG
rnacentral:rRNA from 1 species